AAUUUUGGACAAUGGGGGAAACCCUGCUCCAGCAAUCCCGCGUGUAUGAUGAAGGCCUUCGGCUUGUCAAGUACUUUUGGCAGUGAAGAAAAGGUAUCCGCUAAUACGGGAUACUGCUUAUGUUAUCUUCAGAAUAAGCACCGGCUACUUACGUUUCAGCAGCCGCGGUAAUACGAAGGGUGCAAGCGUUAAUCGGAAUUACUGGGCGUAAAGCAUGUGUAGGAGGUUCGUAAAGAAGGUUGUUGAGUCCCAGGGCGGAACAUUGGAACUGCAAUAUUAACUGCCGAGCUAGUAUAUGACAGAGGGGGGUAGAAUACCACGUGUAGCAGUGAAAUACGUAGAUAUGUGGAGAAAGACCGAUGGCGAAGACAGCCCCCUGGGAUACUACGGACGCUCAGACGCUAAAACGUGGGGAGCAAACA
rnacentral:rRNA from 1 species